rnacentral:snRNA from 1 species
GUGCUCACUUCGGCAGCACAUACAGUAAAAAAUUAGACCGAUACAGAGAAAAUUAGCACGGCUCCUGAGCAAGGAUGACAUGCAGAUUCAUGAAGCGUUCCAUAUUUUU